GGCUCAGGAUGAACGCUAGCUACAGGCUUAACACAUGCAAGUCGAGGGCAGCAUGAACUUAGCUUGCUAAGUUUGAUGGCGACCGGCGCACGGGUGAGUAACACGUAUCCAACCUUCCGUUUACUCAGGGAUAGCCUUUCGAAAGAAAGAUUAAUACCUGAUAGUAUGGUGAGAUUGCAUGAUAGCACCAUUAAAGAUUUAUUGGUAAACGAUGGGGAUGCGUUCCAUUAGGUAGUAGGCGGGGUAACGGCCCACCUAGCCGACGAUGGAUAGGGGUUCUGAGAGGAAGGUCCCCCACAUUGGAACUGAGACACGGUCCAAACUCCUACGGGAGGCAGCAGUGAGGAAUAUUGGUCAAUGGACGAGAGUCUGAACCAGCCAAGUAGCGUGCAGGAUGACGGCCCUAUGGGUUGUAAACUGCUUUUAUAAGGGAAUAAAGUGGGAGUCGUGACUCUUUUUGCAUGUACCUUAUGAAUAAGGACCGGCUAAUUCCGUG
rnacentral:rRNA from 1 species